rnacentral:rRNA from 1 species
UACGUAGGGUGCAGGCGUUAAUCGGAAUUACUGGGCGUAAAGCGUGCGCAGGCGGUUUGCUAAGACAGGUGUGAAAUCCCCGGGCUUAACCUGGGAAUGGCAUUUGGGACUGCAAGGCUCGAGUGCGGCAGAGGAGACUGGAAUUCCUGGUGUAGCAGUGAAAUGCGUAGAUAUCAGGAGGAAUACCGAUGGCGAAGGCAGGUCUCUGGGCUGACACUGACGCUCAUGCACGAAAGCGUGGGGAGCAAACAGG